UUUCCUGUGGCUCAAUCAGAAGAGCAUUGCUUUAGCAACACAAAGGUUAUGAGUUCAAACCCCAGGGAAAA